rnacentral:tRNA from 1 species
GGGUGACUAACUCAACUGGUAGAGUAGCAGACUCUUAAUCUGCGAGUUCAGGGUUCGAGUCCCUGGUCACCCACCA